CGCAUCGCGACUGUCCCUCCACCCUCAGCACUGCCGCCCCCCACGCCCUUGACCCCCGCACUGCUGCCGCCGCCCUCCCCAUCCCGCACCGCCGCUGCCCUCCCUGCGGCUCCCUGCGGCGACGCGGACCUCGGCCGCGGCUCCCGGCGGCGCGGUGGGCGGAGGUCGGCCUCGGCCGGCGGCCGAAGCUCGGCCGCAGCUCCCGGCGCCGCGCUGGGCUGAGCCCGGACUCGACCGGCUCUUCCCCGGCGGAGCUCGGCCGCGGCUCCAGGCGAGCAGACUCCCGGCGACGCGGCGGACGGAGCACCCUGGCGGCGGCGGCCGCCCACUCUCCUCCUCCUCUCUCUUGCGGCCGCGCGGCGAGUGGGCGGUGGUCGGGCUCCUGCCCGAACGAGCUGUGCAACUACAACAGAAACGGCCAGGGCAACAAAAACAGGGACGGUGCCAGAAGGGGUGUGGAUUGAACUCCGUCGAUGGUGCCACGGAAGCAACAUCCUGGCAUCAGUCAUUUGCCAAACUCAUUGCAGUAAGGUGCUUCCACAAUUGAGAUGGAGUACAUGCCUCGAUGAAUUGUUUGAGCAACGCAGAAAGCAUGACAUUCUAAGGGCCGAGAUCUGCUCAGACUGUCAUCCGGGAGCAGGCCUCCGGCAGUGACACUGCAACCAUUGAGGCAGCAACCACCAAAGAAAACAUAUAUGCCUGAUUUCUUGCAUAUAUGUAUCAGCAUUGUUUGGGUUGGGCUUAAAAGCCUUUCAGAUGCAUUUAAACCUCAUUCAGUAUGACUGAUAUUGGUUAUUUGUGCCUUUAUAAGCCGCAUAAUGUUUCAAGUUCCAAGCCACUUAGCUGUUUCGUUGGGUUUUGUUGUUAAAUUGAGAAUCUGACUUGCUGCAUCCUAGAAUUCCAAGUGACAGAUUUGGUUAGGCUGUGUUUAGUUCAUGAAAUUUUUUGGGUUUGGAUACUGUAGCACCUUCGUUGUUAUUUGAUAAUUAAUGUCCAAUUAUAGACUAAUUAGGCUUAAAAGAUUUAUCUCGUCAUUUCCAAUUGAACUAUGUAGUUAGUUAUUUUUUUCAACUCCAUUUAGUGCUCCAUGCAUGUGUCCGAAGAUUUGGGCCUUAGAUUCCUAUCAUAAAUCAGAGGGAGCUAGCUAAUUCUAAUGACACCGGUUCUACUAGGAUCCUACUACCCCAUCAUGAUACAUGAACAUUUCCCUAUCUAGGACAAUAAUUUAGUGCGGCAUGUAAUUUAAAUUUUCUUCUUGCUUCCCAAAUUACAAUAAAAGAAUAUGGAAUUUCCCUUUUUCCCACCAGUAAGGCAUGAUGAAGUUUUCCUAAUUUCUGUGCCAGUGUACUUGAUUAAGUUGUACAUACUCCCUCUAUCCUGAAAUGUAAGUCAUUCUGGCAUUUUACCAGAUUCAUUGAACAUUCUCUAAAUCUAGACAAACUGUAUGUCCAGAUUCAUUGAACAUUCUAUGAAUCUGGACACAGUAAAACACUCCCAGGAUGACUUACAUUUUAGGACGGAGGGAGUAUUUGCUAUACAUGUGACGAGAUCUUCAAAAUAAGCUUCAAAUGUUGGCUUAAAUCCCAUGGAUAGAUUAAUAUAUACAUAGGUGAAGAAGUCUGCCAGCUUUGAAUUUUAUUUGUCAUUGUAACCUGAUCUUGAGGUAAUUUAAGGCUUUGUCAGGUCUGUAUUUUUUCAUCCACCUUUAUUGGUUGGUUUGGUGAAUUGGUGUAUGCACUAAUCUGAGUACAGCAUGUUUUUGUUCAAUUAAUUUUGCAUAUAUGCCCAGUUUCUUACCUGCUGACCAUGUGUCUGUUCUGUUAGCAGACAGCUUAAUUUUUUGGAAGGGAAGUCCAACAAGGCAAACAACGGUUGUACAAAGAUGGAGGAGAUCAACUUGCUCCUUCAUGGCCUGAGAAUUUGUCAAGUCAUCAAUAAAAAUUAAAACAAAUGGUUCCGUUAGUUUCGUUGGCUAAAUACAUAAUGAGGAAGCACCUGGUGAUGUUGGGAUUUGUUGUUUGCAAAGCACUAUGAUCAAGUACCAAUGUGCUGGAAUUCCUUGUCAAAACACAAAGCUGGAUUAACCUCUGAAAAUAUUGUGUUGCAAACUUAAAUGUCAUUUAGGCCAAUUUGUAUUACAUAGCUUUAUAUCAACAUUUUUCAGGAUUCCAUUGACCUUAGUAGAUCUAAAUUACCAUUUUUUCUGACUUCAUGUUCAGUUGCUAUCCAUGAGAAUUAUAUUUACCUGACAUGUGGUCCCCAAAAGGAUAAGCAAAGAAGAUUUAUCUGUUCGAGCACAA